AGCCUGCCACGUCAUUAAAUAAAACUCUGUGUUUCAAGCAGAGCGCGCGCCUAUUUGAAUGGUUCAGGGGAUCGAUUCCCCGCUCAUGCACCUUUCAUUUUGCCUUGCAUAUUUUUUCUUCCAAUUAUUCACAUGUUCAUCCUUGCUUGUUUCACAUUUUUUUAUUUUUUCAUCACAGUCAAAAAAUCAUAACUCAUGAAAUACAACUCCAAAUUGCAUGAUUCUUUUUUUGAAUUGUUCAUCAUGUU
rnacentral:lncRNA from 1 species